AGAGUUUGAUCCUGGCUCAGGACGAACGCUGGCGGCGUGCUUAACACAUGCAAGUCGAGCGAUGAAGCUUCCUUCGGGAAGUGGAUUAGCGGCGGACGGGUGAGUAACACGUGGGUAACCUGCCUCAAAGUGGGGGAUAGCCUUCCGAAAGGAAGAUUAAUACCGCAUAAUAUGAGAGAAUCGCAUGAUUUUCUUAUCAAAGAUUUAUUGCUUUGAGAUGGACCCGCGGCGCAUUAGCUAGUUGGUAAGGUAACGGCUUACCAAGGCAACGAUGCGUAGCCGACCUGAGAGGGUGAUCGGCCACAUUGGAACUGAGACACGGUCCAGACUCCUACGGGAGGCAGCAGUGGGGAAUAUUGCGCAAUGGGGGAAACCCUGACGCAGCAACGCCGCGUGGGUGAUGAAGGUCUUCGGAUUGUAAAACCCUGUUUUCUAGGACGAUAAUGACGGUACUAGAGGAGGAAGCCACGGCUAACUACGUGCCAGCAGCCGCGGUAAUACGUAGGUGGCGAGCGUUGUCCGGAUUUACUGGGCGUAAAGGGUGCGUAGGCGGAUGUUUAAGUGGGAUGUGAAAUCCCCGGGCUUAACCUGGGGGCUGCAUUCCAAACUGGAUAUCUAGAGUGCAGGAGAGGAAAGCGGAAUUCCUAGUGUAGCGGUGAAAUGCGUAGAGAUUAGGAAGAACACCAGUGGCGAAGGCGGCUUUCUGGACUGUAACUGACGCUGAGGCACGAAAGCGUGGGUAGCAAACAGGAUUAGAUACCCUGGUAGUCCACGCCGUAAACGAUGGAUACUAGGUGUAGGGGGUAUCAACUCCCCCUGUGCCGCAGUUAACACAAUAAGUAUCCCGCCUGGGGAGUACGGUCGCAAGAUUAAAACUCAAAGGAAUUGACGGGGGCCCGCACAAGCAGCGGAGCAUGUGGUUUAAUUCGAAGCAACGCGAAGAACCUUACCUGGACUUGACAUCCCUUGCAUAGCCUAGAGAUAGGUGAAGCCCUUCGGGGCAAGGAGACAGGUGGUGCAUGGUUGUCGUCAGCUCGUGUCGUGAGAUGUUAGGUUAAGUCCUGCAACGAGCGCAACCCUUGUUAUUAGUUGCUACCAUUAAGUUGAGCACUCUAAUGAGACUGCCUGGGUAACCAGGAGGAAGGUGGGGAUGACGUCAAAUCAUCAUGCCCCUUAUGUCCAGGGCUACACACGUGCUACAAUGGUAGGUACAAUAAGACGCAAGACCGUGAGGUGGAGCAAAACUUAUAAAACCUAUCUCAGUUCGGAUUGUAGGCUGCAACUCGCCUACAUGAAGCUGGAGUUGCUAGUAAUCGCGAAUCAGAAUGUCGCGGUGAAUACGUUCCCGGGCCUUGUACACACCGCCCGUCACACCAUGAGAGCUGGUAACACCCGAAGUCCGUGAGGUAACCGUAAGGAACCAGCGGCCGAAGGUGGGAUUAGUGAUUGGGGUGAAGUCGUAACAAGGUAGCCGUAGGAGAACCUGCGGCUGGAUCACCUCC
rnacentral:rRNA from 1 species